AUGAACGCUAGCGGCAGGCUUAACACAUGCAAGUCAGGGGCAGCGUGGAGCAGCAAUGCUCUGACGGCGACCGGCGGAAGGGUGCGUAACACGUGAGCGACUUGCCCGUCACAGGGGGAUAACCGGCGGAAACGGCGACUAAUACCCCCAUACGAUGCGAUGCUGCAUGGCAUUGCAUUGAAAGAUUCAUCGGUGGCGGAUAGGCUCGCGGGGACAUUAGCUAGACGGCGGGGCAACGGCCCACCGUGGCGACGAUGUCUAGGGGUUCUGAGAGGAAGGCCCCCCACACUGGGACUGAGACACGGCCCAGACUCCUACGGGAGGCAGCAGUGAGGAAUAUUGGUCAAUGGGCGGAAGCCUGAACCAGCCAUGCCGCGUGAAGGACUAAGGCCCUACGGGUCGUAAACUUCUUUAGACGCAGAGCAAUAAGGUCCACGUGUGGACCGAUGAGAGUAUGCGUAGAAUAAGCAUCGGCUAACUCCGUG
rnacentral:rRNA from 1 species